GAUGAAUGCUGGCUGUAUGGAUAAGGCAUGCAAGUCGAACGGUAACAGGGUGCUUGCACCGCUGACGAGUGGCGAACGGGUGAGUAAUGCGUCGGAACGUGCCGAGUAGUGGGGGAUAACGCAGCGAAAGUUGUGCUAAUACCGCAUACGUACUGAGGUAGAAAGUGGGGGACCUUCGGGCCUCACGCUAUUCGAGCGGCCGACGUCUGAUUAGCUAGUAGGUGAGGUAAAGGCUCACCUAGGCGACGAUCAGUAGCGGGUCUGAGAGGAUGAUCCGCCACACUGGGACUGAGACACGGCCCAGACUCCUACGGGAGUCAGCAGUGGGGAAUUUUGGACAAUGGGCGAAAGCCUGAUCCAGCCAUGCCGCGUGUCUGAAGAAGGCCUUCGGGUUGUAAAGGACUUUUGUCAGGGAGGAAAUCCCUAGCGUUAAUACCGCUGGGGGAUGACAGUACCUGAAGAAUAAGCACCGGCUAACUACGUGCCAGCCGCCGCCGUAAGAC
rnacentral:rRNA from 1 species